rnacentral:piRNA from 1 species
UGCUUGAGCAUGGUCAACCAGAUAUCGGC